ACAGUUGAGACCCUUAAUGCAGACCAUAAGGAAGAUGAGAAAAACAUGCCAAUCGGAAUAAUUGUAGGGAUAUCAACUGGCAUUUUGACUGUAGGAAUAGUUGUUACUUUUGUCCUACUCAGAAAAGUCAUCUUAAAAGGAAGAUCACAGGCUGUUCCAGAAUCAAGAUCAGAUUUUCAACAAUCUUUACCAAUAUCGAAUUACGAAGGUCUUCAACUAGGCACAUUUGAAACAUCGACUUAUGACUCAAUAAAACAUACAUUGUGAGGAUCUAAGAGUCAAAGUAAUUGCUAUGGAGAGCAAGAAAAAAUGUACUGUAUAGUUAACUGUAUACUUUUAGAAGAACGCUAAACGAAAAUGAGCUCAUGUGUACUCUUACGUGAUUUUAUGUGUGAAUUCUGAAUUAUUAGUAUAAAUAUAAGUUAAUAUAGUUUGAUAAUUUUCAAAUGCUGCAGAUAAAACCUUUAUAAAAAGAAUGGUUAACAUUUACAAAUAGCUAAUGUGUAGCCAAAAUG